CAGCGACUGUAAAAAGAAAAAAGACCCCUUGUUAAAAACAAAUCCAACUUUACAGCAGAAAUAACAUGUUUACAGCCUG